CUGCGCUCCAGUGUCUGCAGUUCUUCUUCUGUAAGAGUCUGCAGCAGGUCCCUGCAGGCAAACAGAAAAAUGCUGCCAUUCACUAACCAUAUUUGUAAAUGGAGUGCCAUGUUCUGCGGUUUGAUUUUGGCUGAGUUUGCCUUCUCCCACUGAGGAAGCAAGAGCAAGGGGUGAAGUCCAUUGCCAAUGGGAUGAGCUCACAGGCCCCUGGGAAGCUUCCUCGAUGAGCUUGACACCCUGCUGAGCUCCUUCCCAGAGGAUGGCACCCCACUGAUCCUCCUGGGAGACU